UGGCGGCAGGCCUAAUACAUGCAAGUCGAACGGCAGCACAGCAGAGCUUGCUCUGUGGGUGGCGAGUGGCGGACGGGUGAGGAAUACAUGGGAAUCUGCCCAGUCGUGGGGGAUAACGUAUGGAAACGUACGCUAAUACCGCAUGCGCCCUUUGGGGGAAAGCCGGGGACCUUCGGGCCUGGCGCGAUUGGAUGAGCCCAUGUUCGAUUAGCUAGUUGGCGGGGUAAAGGCCCACCAAGGCGACGAUCGAUAGCUGGUCUGAGAGGAUGAUCAGCCACACUGGGACUGAGACACGGCCCAGACUCCUACGGGAGGCAGCAGUAGGGAAUAUUGGACAAUGGGCGCAAGCCUGAUCCAGCCAUGCCGCGUGAGUGAAGAAGGCCCUCGGGUUGUAAAGCUCUUUUGUUGGGGAAGAAAAGCAGUCGGUUAAUACCUGAUUGUUCUGACGGUACCCAAAGAAUAAGCACCGGCUAACUUCGUGCCAGCAGCCGCGGUAAUACGAAGGGUGCAAGCGUUACUCGGAAUUACUGGGCGUAAAGCGUGCGUAGGUGGUUUGUUAAGUCUGAUGUGAAAGCCCUGGGCUCAACCUGGGAAUGGCACUGGAUACUGGCAAGCUAGAGU
rnacentral:rRNA from 1 species